rnacentral:rRNA from 1 species
UACGUAGGGUGCAAGCGUUGUCCGGAAUUAUUGGGCGUAAAGAGCUCGUAGGCGGUCUGUCGCGUCGGAUGUGAAAAUCAGGGCUCAACCCUGGACCUGCAUUCGAUACGGGCAGACUAGAGUUCGGUAGGGGAGACUGGAAUUCCUGGUGUAGCGGUGAAAUGCGCAGAUAUCAGGAGGAACACCGGUGGCGAAGGCGGGUCUCUGGGCCGAAACUGACGCUGAGGCACGAAGGCCAGGGGAGCAAACGGG